GCGAACGCUGGCGGCACGCUUAACACAUGCAAGUCGAACGAGAGAAGAGAAGCUUGCUUUUCUGAUCUAGUGGCGGACGGGUGAGUAACACGUGAGCAAUCUGCCUUUCAGAGGGGGAUACCGAUUGGAAACGAUCGUUAAUACCGCAUAAUAUAAUUGAACCGCAUGAUUUGAUUAUCAAAGAUUUAUCGCUGAAAGAUGAGCUCGCGUCUGAUUAGCUAGUUGGUAAGGUAACGGCUUACCAAGGCGACGAUCAGUAGCCGGACUGAGAGGUUGAUCGGCCACAUUGGGACUGAGACACGGCCCAGACUCCUACGGGAGGCAGCAGUGGGGAAUAUUGCACAAUGGAGGAAACUCUGAUGCAGCGAUGCCGCGUGAGGGAAGAAGGUUUUAGGAUUGUAAACCUCUGUCUUCAGGGACGAAAAAUGACGGUACCUGAGGAGGAAGCUCCGGCUAACUACGUGCCAGCAGCCGCGGUAAUACGUAGGGAGCGAGCGUUGUCCGGAAUUACUGGGUGUAAAGGGAGCGUAGGCGGGAUCGCAAGUCAGAUGUGAAAACUAUGGGCUUAACCCAUAAACUGCAUUUGAAACUGUGGUUCUUGAGUGAAGUAGAGGUAAGCGGAAUUCCUAGUGUAGCGGUGAAAUGCGUAGAUAUUAGGAGGAACAUCAGUGGCGAAGGCGGCUUACUGGGCUUUAACUGACGCUGAGGCUCGAAAGCGUGGGGAGCAAACAGGAUUAGAUACCCUGGUAGUCCACGCCGUAAACGAUGAUUACUAGGUGUGGGGGGACUGACCCCUUCCGUGCCGCAGCAAACGCAAUAAGUAAUCCACCUGGGGAGUACGACCGCAAGGUUGAAACUCAAAGGAAUUGACGGGGGCCCGCACAAGCAGUGGAGUAUGUGGAUUAAUUCGAAGCAACGCGAAGAACCUUACCAGGUCUUGACAUCGUAUGCAUAGCUCAGAGAUGAGUGAAAUCUCUUCGGAGACAUAUAGACAGGUGGUGCAUGGUUGUCGUCAGCUCGUGUCGUGAGAUGUUGGGUUAAGUCCCGCAACGAGCGCAACCCUUACUGUUAGUUGCUACGCAAGAGCACUCUAGCAGGACUGCCGUUGACAAAACGGAGGAAGGUGGGGAUGACGUCAAAUCAUCAUGCCCCUUAUGACCUGGGCCUCACACGUACUACAAUGGCUGUCAACAGAGGGAAGCAAAGCCGCGAGGUGGAGCAAACCCCUAAAAGCAGUCUUAGUUCGGAUUGUAGGCUGCAACCCGCCUACAUGAAGUCGGAAUUGCUAGUAAUCGCAGAUCAGCAUGCUGCGGUGAAUACGUUCCCGGGCCUUGUACACACCGCCCGUCACGCCAUGGGAGUCGGUAACACCCGAAGCCUGUAGUCUAACCGCAAGGAGGACGCAGUCGAAGGUGGAAUUGAUGACUGGGGUG
rnacentral:rRNA from 1 species